UAUGGAUAUCACUUUCACGUUCACUUACACUUCACCUUCCAAUCACUUCACUUGUUUUGGUCUAUUCCCGUUGUCACGGACGGUGAAGUGAUUGAAAAUGAACUCAGUGGAGUGACAACUGCAGUGUAGUGGUAUUCAUAAUCGCAAUGUUUAUAGUGCAACAUCGGAAGCCACAAACUGUCACUUGCUGCGUUCGUUGUUCUUUCUAACAAAUGAAAGUAGAAGAGUAUUCAUUACUUAUUUGCUUAAUUGUUGCUAAGAAGGUGGGAUAGUUCAGUUUUUGUUUCAAUCAUGAGCGUGGAACUUUGGUUUGAUACUGACAGUGAAGACGACGAGGAGUAUGCCAAUCUUGCCGUAGAACGUAGGCGUAUAAGGGAUUACUCUAAUCCACUAGAUCAAACAGAAAAAUCUUUUGUCAAAUUGUUUAGAGUGUCAAAAGACAUUUUUUCACACCUGCUGGAAAUCAUUGAUACGAAACUGAAACCAUCUAGUCAUUCAACUGCAGUUUCUCCAUUGAUUAUGCUAGCGGCUUCUUUGAGGUUCUUUUCCGACGGAAGUUAUCAGAAGGGUGUUGGAAAUGAUCGAUAUGUUGGAUUGGCGCAACCUACGAUGUCAAAAGUAUUGCAGUUGGUUUUGGACAUACCUGAGAAGGAAAUAUGCCCCGUCGAAAUUGUUUUCCCAACCGACGAACGUGAAAAGCAUAUCAUAAAACAGGGCUUUUACGAACAAACGGGAUUUCCAGGAGUCAUCGGUUGCGUAGACGGAACCCAUGUGAGCAUAAUAGCUCCAACUCAUGACAAACACAUAUUUUACAACCGAAAAGGGUUCUACAGUCUAAAUGUUAUGUUGGUAAGUUGUAAAACUUAAACAGCAGUUCGUUGAAUUAACUCAUACAUUAUUAUUACAGGUAUGUGACCACAAUCUGUUGAUCCGAUAUGUGAACGCCAAUCACCCGGGUUCCUCUCACGAUUCAUUUGUUUGGAAUGGAAGUGUACUAAAUCAAUUAUUGCAACAGGAAUAUACAAACGGAGAGAGAAACUCUUGGUUACUUGGUGACGCUGGCUACCCCCUAACACCAUUUCUGAUUACACCUUUUCGUACUGGAGAACAAACCGAUGAACGACAGACAAGAUUCAACGGAAUACAUUCUAAGACCAGGAUUACUGUGGAAAGAUCAAUCGGAGUGUUUAAGAAUACUUUCAGAUGUAUGUUGAAAGAACGACAGUUGCAUUACCAGCCGGAAAAAGCAACUCAAAUCAUCAACGUGUGUGUUGCGCUACAUAACCUCAGAAUCAGAUAUAAAAUGGAUUUGGAUGAACCGGAGCUGAAUGACGAAGCGGAUGAGGAUUUUGUAGAUAUUGACGCGAAUUAUGAAAAUGCAAUUAGAAUCAGGGAAGAAAUCAUGCAUA